GCCAGACUCCUACGGGAGGCAGCAGUGGGGAAUAUUGCACAAUGGGGGAAACCCUGAUGCAGCAACGCCGCGUGAGUGAAGAAGUAUUUCGGUAUGUAAAGCUCUCUCAGCAGGGAAGAAGAUGACGGUACCUGAUUAAGAAGCCCCGGCUAACUACGUGCCAGCAGCCGCGGUAAUACGUAGGGGGCGAGCGUUAUCCGGAUUCACUGGGGGUAAAGGGAGGGUAGACGGCCAUGCAAGCCAGGGGUGAAAGCCCGGGGCGCAACCCCGGGACUGCCCUUGGAACUGCAGGGCUGGAGUGCGGGAGGGGCAGGCGGAAUUCCUGGUGUAGCGGUGAAAUGCGUAGAUAUCAGGAGGAACACCGGCGGCGAAGGCGGCCUGCUGGACCGCGACUGACGUUGAGGCUCGAAAGCGUGGGGAGCGAACAGGAUUAGAUACCCGGGUAUAU
rnacentral:rRNA from 1 species